GAUGAACGCUGGCGGCGUGCCUAAUACAUGCAAGUCGAGCGAACAGAUAAGGAGCUUGCUCCUUUGACGUUAGCGGCGGACGGGUGAGUAACACGUGGGUAACCUACCUAUAAGACUGGGAUAACUUCGGGAAACCGGGGCUAAUGCCGGAUAACAUUUAGAACCGCAUGGUUCUAAAGUGAAAGAUGGUUUUGCUGUCACUUAUAGAUGGACCCGCGCUGUAUUAGCUAGUUGGUAAGGUAACGGCUUACCAAGGCAACGAUACGUAGCCGACCUGAGAGGGUGAUCGGCCACACUGGAACUGAGACACGGUCCAGACUCCUACGGGAGGCAGCAGUAGGGAAUCUUCCGCAAUGGGCGAAAGCCUGACGGAGCAACGCCGCGUGAGUGAUGAAGGUCUUCGGAUCGUAAAACUCUGUUAUUAGGGAAGAACAUAUGUGUAAGUAACUGUGCACGUCUUGACGGUACCUAAUCAGAAAGCCACGGCUAACUACGUG
rnacentral:rRNA from 1 species